GAUGAACGCUGGCGGCGUGCCUAACACAUGCAAGUCGAGCGAUUCUCUUCGGAGAAGAGCGGCGGACGGGUGAGUAACGCGUGGGUAACCUGCCUUGUACACACGGAUAACAUACCGAAAGGUAUGCUAAUACGAGAUAAUAUGCUUUUAUCGCAUGGUAGAAGUAUCAAAGCUCCGGCGGUACAGGAGGGACCCGCGUCUGAUUAGCAAGUUGGUAAGGUAACGGCUUACCAAGGCGACGAUCAGUAGCCGACCUGAGAGGGUGAUCGGCCACAUUGGAACUAAGACACGGUCCAAACUCCUACGGGAGGCAGCAGUGGGGAAUAUUGCACAAUGGGCGAAAGCCUGAUGCAGCAACGCCGCGUGAGCGAUGAAGGCCUUCGGGUCGUAAAGCUCUGUCCUCAAGGAAGAUAAUGACGGUACUUGAGGAGGAAGCCCCGGCUAACUACGUGCCAGCAGCCGCGGUAA
rnacentral:rRNA from 1 species